GGAUUCAUGGGUCUUUUAAUAUGGCCUGGAGAGUGUUUCUUUGUCUGAAAAUAAAUAAAAAAGCAAGCAAAUGGACACGAAGACUAAUAAUCUAAAUCAUGAUCUGAUCAAACUUAAAAGUAAAAGUUGGGAAUCCCAAAAAGGCCAGAAAAUUAUGCUUAAAAGCAGGCUACAAAAAAUGUUUAUACGCAUACUAUAAGAAUGAUGUAAUUAUGAAUGUCUGAAUUUAAUACAUUAAAUUUCACAAUAUUAUUCAAUCUCUCGGCCAAACCAGAACUUGGAGUCAAUAAACGAUAUCAACUUUAA